CCAAUAGCGUAUAUUAAAGUUGUUGCAGUUAAAAAGCUCGUAGUUGAAUUUCGGGAUUUGCAUAUUGGUCGUGCCUUAAGGGGUAUGAACUGGUGCUGUUGAUUUCUCACCUUCUGGAGAACCGUGAUGUCCUUAAUUGGGUGUCUUGAGGAACCAGGACCUUUACUUUGAAAAAAUUAGAGUGUUUAAAGCAGGCAUUUUUGCUCGAAUACAUUAGCAUGGAAUAAUAGAAUAGGACGGCAUGAUUCUAUUUUGUUGGUUUCUAGGAUCACCGUAAUGAUUAAUAGGGAUAGUUGGGGGCAUUAGUAUUCAAUUGUCAGAGGUGAAAUUCUUGGAUUUAUUGAAGACUAACUACUGCGAAAGCAUUUGCCAAGGAUGUUUUCAUUAAUCAAGAACGAAAGUUAGGGGAUCGAAGACGAUCAGAUACCGUCGUAGUCUUAACCAUAAACUAUGCCGACUAGGAAUCAGACGAUGUUAAUUUUUUAAUGACUCGUUUGGCACCUUACG
rnacentral:rRNA from 1 species